CUGACCUCAAAUCAGGCGGGACUACCCGCUGAACUUAAGCAUAUCAAUAAGCGGAGGAAAAGAAACUAACAAGGAUUCCCCUAGUAACUGCGAGUGAAGCGGGAWAAAGCUCA
rnacentral:rRNA from 1 species